AGAGUUUGAUCAUGGCUCAGAACGAACGCUGGCGGCGUGCCUAAUACAUGCAAGUCGUGCGAGAAAAGGGGGGCAACUCCCUGAGUACAGCGGCGCACGGGUGAGUAACACGUAGGUAACCUGCCCUCGAGCUCGGAAUAACCUACCGAAAGGUGGGCUAAUACCGGAUAUGACCACGGGCGUCUCGGCGCUUGCGGUGAAAGGUGGCCUCUACUUGUAAGCUACCACUCAAGGAUGAGCCUGCGGGCCAUUAGCUAGUUGGCGGGGUAACGGCCCACCAAGGCGAUGAUGGCUAGCUGGUCUGAGAGGAUGGCCAGCCACACUGGGACUGAAACACGGCCCAGACUCCUACGGGAGGCAGCAGUAGGGAAUAUUGCGCAAUGGGCGAAAGCCUGACGCAGCGACGCCGCGUGGGUGAUGAAGGCCUUCGGGUCGUAAAGCCCUGUCGAGGGGGACGAAUCGGUUGCGACCUAACACGUCGUGAUCCUGACGGUACCCCUAAAGGAAGCACCGGCUAACUCCGUGCCAGCAGCCGCGGUAAUACGGAGGGUGCGAGCGUUGUUCGGAAUCACUGGGCGUAAAGCGCGUGUAGGCGGCCCACUAAGUCUGAUGUGAAAGCCCGGGGCUCACCCCCGGAAGUGCAUUGGAAACUGGUGGACUCGAGUCCCGGAGAGGAGGGUGGAAUUCCUGGUGUAGCGGUGAAAUGCGUAGAUAUCAGGAGGAACACCGGUGGCGAAGGCGGCCCUCUGGACGGUGACUGACGCUGAGACGCGAAAGCGUGGGGAGCAAACAGGAUUAGAUACCCUAGUAGUCC
rnacentral:rRNA from 1 species